rnacentral:rRNA from 1 species
UACGUAGGGGGCAAGCGUUGUCCGGAUUUAUUGGGCGUAAAGAGCGUGUAGGCGGCUAGGUAGGUCCGUUGUGAAAACUCGAGGCUCAACCUCGAGACGUCGAUGGAAACCAUCUAGCUAGAGUCCGGAAGAGGAGAGUGGAAUUCCUGGUGUAGCGGCGAAAUGCGCAGAUAUCAGGAAGAACACCCGUGGCGAGGGCGGCUCUCUGGUACGUGACUGACGCUGAGGCGCGGAAGCUAGGGGAGCGAACAGG